ACAUCUGUCAAGCCUGCAGACUCCCUGUGUGUGACGCACUGUCUCGAUGAGGGAAAGUCUAACAGGAAAGUCAGUCUAAAAAGGUCCCUGUGCAGCACGGGCCCAAGGUCAGAGCUGACAAUGGACACUUUGAUAGAGAAGCUGUGGAGAUGUAAAUCAGCCAAUAGAAGAAGACAAAACAACUGUCCUCCCCCCACCCCCCCACCCAACCAGAAAAAGGAGGAAUUUAGAUUUAAAAGAGUCAAUGAACACUGUGGAUGGAGAUGGGGAGGUGUGGGGAGGCAGAAGUUGUUAAAUGGUGCUGGGGGAACUAUUUCUGUCAGUCCGGCUCAUUCCUGGGAAAGUUUGGAGCAUCUUCCCUAUUGCUUGGCACCUGGAGUGGAUCGCUGGGAAUCUGAACAAUGA
rnacentral:lncRNA from 1 species